rnacentral:lncRNA from 1 species
ACAUCCUUCUUUCGCCUGAGAGCUUAGCCGCUCAGCCACUCCAUCGGUGCCCCUUCCGACUCCGAGCAUCUUUCGCGUCGGUCUUUGCCAUCUCUGCCGGCUUUCCACUGCUUCCGGUCCCCCGAGUCUCUCCAAGGGGUUCCCCCGCUGGGGCCUCCGCCCUGGAGGCCAAUCUCAAGAUGAUGUCACAGACUAAGAAGAGUGCAAGGAGGAGAACAGC